GACGAACGCUGGCGGCGCGCUUAACACAUGCAAGUCGAGCGAGAACCGGAGCUUGCUCCGGGGACAGCGGCGAACGGGUGAGUAACACGUGGGUAAUCUGCCCUCGAUUCUGGGAUAGCCCGGGGAAACCCGGAUUAAUACCGGAUAGCCUUUCGAGCUCUCGAGCUUGAAAGAAAAGGUAGCUUCGGCCUCCGAUCGAGGAUGAGCCCGCGGCGGAUUAGCUUGUUGGCGGGGUAAUGGCCCACCAAGGCGACGAUCCGUAGCUGGUCUGAGAGGACGAUCAGCCACACUGGGACUGAGACACGGCCCAGACUCCUACGGGAGGCAGCAGUGGGGAAUCUUGCGCAAUGGGCGAAAGCCUGACGCAGCGACGCCGCGUGAGGGAAGAAGGCCUGGU
rnacentral:rRNA from 1 species